CUGUGUGAAUUUGCUCUGCAUUGUCAGAAUCAUUUGUACAGGAAGGGGGCUGUGCAUGUACCUCUGUUUUGUGUAACGGGGGGUCCCUACAAACCAACACUUCAUUCACUCUACACUUAUUGAAACAGAUUCCAAUAAUUGGUGCCCUCAGGAGAGCAAGGUAUUGUGGGAGUGAGAAUUUCUGUAGAUAGGUUCUAGAAUCUAGAGACUUGGCUUUUGAGGAACAGAUAGAAAAGUUAGAGUAGAAUGCAAAAGAUCAGAUACAAACUGCACAAUGUAUAGGGAAAAUUUACUUUUGAUAAGUUGUGCAAUAUCUUAAUUUCUGCUACUUUGUGAAGUUGAAAUGGCCAUAGCCUUUUAGUAUAAAACAUACUGGGAUGUAGUAAUUUUCUUUUCACUCCAGUGUGAGUAUGCUACAGAC